rnacentral:rRNA from 1 species
AACGAACGCUGGCGGCAUGCCUAACACAUGCAAGUCGAACGAGACCUUCGGGUCUAGUGGCGCACGGGUGCGUAACGCGUGGGAAUCUGCCCUUGGGUCCGGAAUAACUCAGAGAAAUUUGAGCUAAUACCGGAUGAUGACGUAAGUCCAAAGAUUUAUCGCCCAGGGAUGAGCCCGCGUAGGAUUAGCUAGUUGGUGAGGUAAAGGCUCACCAAGGCGACGAUCCUUAGCNGGUCUGAGAGGAUGAUCAGCCACACUGGGACUGAGACACGGCCCAGACUCCUACGGGAGGCAGCAGUGGGGAAUAUUGGACAAUGGGCGAAAGCCUGAUCCAGCAAUGCCGCGUGAGUGAUGAAGGCCUUAGGGUUGUAAAGCUCUUUUACCCGGGAUGACAAUGACAGUACCGGGAGAAUAAGCCCCGGCUAACUCCGUGCCAGCCGCCG